AUACGUAGGGGGCGAGCGUUGUCCGGAAUGAUUGGGCGUAAAGGGCGCGUAGGCGGCCCGGUAAGUCUGGAGUGAAAGUCCUGUUUUUAAGAUGGGAAUUGCCUUGGAUACUGUCGGGCUUGAGUGCAGGAGAGGUAAGUGGAAUUCCCAGUGUAGCGGUGAAAUGCGUAGAGAUCGGGAGGAACACCAGUGGCGAAGGCGGGUAACUGGACUGCAACUGACGCUGAGGCGCGAAAGUGUGGGGAGCAAACAGGAUUAGAUACCCUGGUAGUCCACACUGUAAACGAUGAAUGCUAGGUGUAAGAGGUAUCGACCCCUUUUGUGCCGGAGUCAACACAAUAAGCAUUCCGCCUGGGGAGUACGGCCGCAAGGUUGAAACUUAAAGGAAUUGACGGGG
rnacentral:rRNA from 1 species